GGAGGAAGAACAAGGGUAAAACCCUUGUUCAAGCUCAAACCCCCAAAUUGAAGAUCAAUUCAAGACCCAAAUUGAUGCAUGAAAGCGUAUUAACGAUCACCUAGACUAGGGGAUCAUAAGACGCUUGAAAAGCUAGGUGAAAGCUUGGGGGAGAAGCGGGUCAAACGAAACUAAUACCUGUGGAAAGCAUAUUUGGAUGCAAGGUAUAUCUUGAAGUACCGGAUGACGAUCAAGCUCAAUAAAGAACCGAACACGAUCAAAUUUAAGCU
rnacentral:lncRNA from 1 species